AUUGAACGCUGGCGGCAUGCUUUACACAUGCAAGUCGAACGGCAGCGCGGGCUUCGGCCUGGCGGCGAGUGGCGAACGGGUGAGUAAUGCAUCGGAACGUGCCCAGUAGUGGGGGAUAGCCCGGCGAAAGCCGGAUUAAUACCGCAUACGACCUGAGGGUGAAAGGGGGGGACCGAAAGGCCUCGCGCGAUUGGAGGGGCCGAUGUCAGAUUAGCUAGUUGGUGGGGUAAAGGCUUACCAAGGCGACGAUCCGUAGCUGGUCUGAGAGGACGACCAGCCACACUGGGACUGAGACACGGCCCAGACUCCUACGGGAGGCAGCAGUGGGGAAUUUUGGACAAAGGGGGCAACCCUGAUCCAGCCAUGCCGCGUGCGGGAAGAAGGCCUUCGGGUUGUAAACCGCUUUUGUUCGGGAAGAAAUCCUCUGGGCUAAUACCCCGGGGGGAUGACGGUACCGGAAGAAUAAGCACCGGCUAACUACGUG
rnacentral:rRNA from 1 species